AUGAACGCUAGCGGCAGGCCUAACACAUGCAAGUCGAGGGAGAAGCCCUUUCGGGGGCAGAAACCGGCGCACGGGUGCGUAACGCGUAUGCAACCUACCUUUCACAGGGGGAUAGCCCGAAGAAAUUUGGAUUAAUACCCCAUAAUAUUAUUGGAUGGCAUCAUUUGAUAAUUAAAACUGCGGUGGUGGAAGAUGGGCAUGCGUCCUAUUAGCUAGUUGGAGUGGUAACGGCACCCCAAGGCUACGAUAGGUAGGGGUCCUGAGAGGGAGAUCCCCCACACUGGUACUGAGACAGGGACCAGACUCCUACGGGAGGCAGCAGUGAGGAAUAUUGGUCAAUGGUCGGAAGACUGAACCAGCCAUGCCGCGUGCAGGAAGAAUGCCUUAUGGGUUGUAAACUGCUUUUAUAUGGGAAGAAUAAGGCGUACGUGUACGUUGAUGACGGUACCAUAUGAAUAAGCAUCGGCUAACUCCGUG
rnacentral:rRNA from 1 species